rnacentral:lncRNA from 1 species
AAAUAAAUAAAUUAUUAUAUUAUUUUGAAAGUGAGGGAUUAAGGUGAAAUAAAUAUUAAUAUAUUAUAUAUUUGGGGUCAAAUAAUUGGAUUUUGAUAAAGUAAUGAUAUGUAUAUCAAUAUUAGACUCAUUUCGAAGGUCGUAAUUAAUUAGAAGUCUAUGACUCGAGAAAAGUUAUUUUGGAUAAGAACGUAUUAAGUUAUACCCAAUUGAAAGAAAACAAGAUAAAUAUAAUUUUAUAUAGUUUUAACCCAUUUUGAAUUUGAUUGAUUGGCUACCACAUUUUUAUUGGAUAGGAAUGGUAGUUCUUUUAGAUGAAAUAAAAUAAUGAUAAAGUACAAUUUUUNUUUUGCCAAGAACACCAUUCUUUUAACUUUGGUUCUGUUCUUUAAAUUCAAUAGCUUCCUUGCUUUUUAAUGUCCAUCUAUUCCACACACAUAAACGGUUUCUCAAUUUCAAGGGCACCAAGACUCUUUUUUUCACCAUAAAUAUUUUGCAAAAGUCAAAAUUGUUGGCACAUAUUUUAAAAGCAGAAAGCCAUUCUCCAUUUUAACUACGUUCAAGGAAGCCGCAGAAGUCUAGAAAUUGAAACGAGGUAGGAUACCAUGUGCAAGUGAUUCAUCCUUGCAAUAUUAUAAUUUUUUUUAUGUGAUUUAUUUCAUGAAAUGCUAAUUGACCUACGGGUCCCUAUGAAAUGAAAUGUGAGAUCGCCUUCGGGUCUUCUCAAAUGUACUAGAGCUUUCGAUUGAUCACCGAUUGCUUUUGAUGAAAUGAUGGUAUGGAAUGUUAUAGAUUCAUGUUUUAAAAGUUAUUAUAUUGUUUGGACACACGUAUCCUACUGAGUAAUACUCAUUCCUUCAAUUUUAACAUUCCAGGUCAGAUUGGUCAACGUGGAUGGUGGCUGAGUGGUGCGC